rnacentral:rRNA from 1 species
AUUGAACGCUAGCGGGAUGCUUUACACAUGCAAGUCGAACGGCAGCGCGGACUUCGGUCUGGCGGCGAGUGGCGAACGGGUGAGUAAUGUAUCGGAACGUGCCCAGUAGCGGGGGAUAACUACGCGAAAGCGUAGCUAAUACCGCAUACGCCCUACGGGGGAAAGCAGGGGAUCGUAAGACCUUGCACUCUUGGAGCGGCCGAUAUCGGAUUAGCUAGUUGGUGAGGUAACGGCUCACCAAGGCGACGAUCCGUAGCUGGUUUGAGAGGACGACCAGCCACACUGGGACUGGGACACGGCCCAGACUCCUACGGGAGGCAGCAGGGGGGAAUUUUGGACAAUGGGGGCAACCCUGAUCCAGCCAUCCCGCGUGUGCGAUGAAGGCCUUCGGGUUGUAAAGCACUUUUGGCAGGAAAGAAACGUCGCGGGCUAAUACCCCGUGGAACUGACGGUACCUGCAGAAUAAGCACCGGCUAACUACGUG